UGCGGUCACGGCCAUUUCGGCCCCGGUGAAGCAGUCAGCUCCGAGCAGGCUCGGCAAGUGGGGCUAUAAAGGCCCGUAGCAGCAGCAGCAGCAGGGCCAGCGUUUCUCCACGCAUCCUCUCUCGGUGCACCGCGGCCUACGGGACACGGGGCACCACGGGAAACCCAGGAAAACCAGGCGAGGCACCGCCGCCGCACGGGGCUGGGAUGCGACCAGGCCUCGCCGUUCUGUGCUGCUCUGGGACCACAGUCCACGCCGGGAAAACUGGCACCGGCGACCGCUCCCCGCCCGCCUCCCCUCGCCCGCUGAGGCAGUGAGAUAAUUCUUUUGGAAAACUGUCCCUGCACAGCAUUAAUUUGCCAUCUCAGUCAACAGUGGAUUAGAAAACCACCGGUUCCAUCGGUGUGGGCUACAAUCCUGCCUUAAGUCUCAUCUGAUCACAAAACACACAACAGAGUAAUUUUCAUGAGGAACUGAGCAAGAAAAAUACAUUGGAGCAGGUUAUCCUAAAUGACAGUGUCUGCACUUUGGAGGACUAAAAUAAGAUGGUACUUGCUUGUGUAGAAAAUAAGCAUUAAAAGUUAUCUCAGGAAAUGCUGCUGAUUCUCACCUCACAGGGUGGACUCCUUGAAAAUUCGAUGCUGGAAGAUGAAAAAGGUGAGAGGAUGAUAAUGGAACCUGUUUUCUGGUACUUUUUCUGUGUAACAAUAGAGGGAGCUCUUACAGCAGUCAAGCGGGGAAGCCGCCUUGCUCUUUGUAUGAACCAUAGUAAAUACUGGGCAUGCAGAAACAGUGCUGAGAAUUAUUCUACCAUCAAGUAUCAGUCCCUUUUAUUACGUCCGUGUGAGAAUGUGUGCAUGUUUGUGUUUUGUUUAACUGAAGAUAUGUUCUCCGUGUACAGGAAAAUUGGUGUGUUGUACUCUGGAAUGUUAUGGUAUGGUAACUGCAUAUACUUUCCAUCCUGUUACCUUCAGUAUAUCACCUGUCCUUUAGUAUAGUACACGUCUUUCCAUUUUCUUGUGGUUUUGUUUGUUUGUUUGUGUGGGUUUGGAUUUUUUUUGUUUGUUGUUGUUUUUUAACGGUAACUCAAGAUAAUGUAACAAAUCCUGCUAAAAUACAACAAAUGUCCACUUAGAACAAACUUAGGUUUCAAUUACAUGCAUUCACCUACUCUAGAUUGCUGUGGGAAGUGUGUAACUUGAGGACUAUAUUAUACUGUAAGAGCCAGUGUAGGAACGUAGCUUAGAGUGAUAGCUAAGAGACAGAGAAAGGAAGAUGUCCAAUUACAGUCCUACACCAGCACAUUCAUUGGGUGCAUGUUGGCAGAGCCUCUUUGUAGCUGUCAGCCCACAAGCAGUAUGAACAGGAAGAAUACUGAACAUGUGCUACAUGUUCCUAGAUAAUAUAUUUCUUUGUAAUUAGUCUCUAGCUAUAACUACUUCAGUUUAGUUUCAAGUUUAAUAUGUCUUGGUACUUUUAAAAAGCGUCUGGGGUAUAUUUAUUAUACCAAUACCUCUGCAAAGUUAGGGUUCACAAGAGAACUUUAUUUAAAAGAGAGGAAUGACAAGUCUACAGAUAUUGUAAGUAUUGUGUGGAUAAGGAACAUAGAAA